CACAGGGCUAUACUUCCAUCAUCUCCAUACUUGCUGGGAGAUUGAGUAAUUGGUGUCUGGAUGUGCGUGUGCUGCUUCCCAAAAUACCUCUUUAAAAAGACGUGAGAGGGAUGCGGAGCCAGUAGGGUAAAGCAUUGGCUUCCGUAUCUUUCAAAUUGUCCCGAGUGAUUCUGAUCCACAGUGAAAACUGAAAACUGUUCUAAUAUUCACCUUGCCGGAAAAGUAAGACUAUGUGAAGUGAACCCUCCUUCAAAUUGGAGAAGGAAGCUUUGAGAUUUCCAGGGAAGAUGGAAGACAGAACAGAAAUGACUGAUUUUGAAGAUUGAGAAUUAGGAAUAUUGUACAGAUGCUGUCAUUCCUACAUGAAGGAGGCAGAAGAAUGUAGCAAGCUCAGCUCUCUAAUGCCAGGAGUGGCACUUUCAGUGACCAGAGCUCCCUGGGUCCUCUGUGUAUCCCUCCCCUGUCAACUGAUUCAACAGAGGCUGGGCUGGUCCUGGCAUUAGCACAUUUUUGAAUCUGCCUUUGGCUGUGACUUCACCCAAAGACAGAAAGGGGAAGUUUCUGGUCUACAUAGCCAACAUGUGGUCUUGAUAAUAAAUCAUUGCUUGUUUGGAAGAAUUUGGUCUGAGCCUUACUUUUAUUGUAAAACACUACCUGUAGAUGGCAGAUGGGGCAUGGGACCUUUAGGCCUUAUCCAGCUCUAAACAUGGGAGGCUACCAAAGACUCUGACGUUUGGCAAAUGGCCAAAUUUGCAGAGAU
rnacentral:lncRNA from 1 species